UACGUAGGGGGCUAGCGUUGUCCGGAUUUAUUGGGCGUAAAGAGCGUGUAGGCGGCCAGGUAGGUCUGGUGUGAAAACUCGAGGCUUAACCUCGAGAUGUCAUCGGAAACCAUUUGGCUAGAGUCCGGAAGAGGAGAGUGGAAUUCCUGGUGGUAGCGGUGAAAUGCGCAGAUAUCAGGAAGAACACCAAUGGCGAAAGCAGCUCUCUGGGACGGUACUGACGCUGAGACGCGAAAGCGUGGGGAGCGAACAGG
rnacentral:rRNA from 1 species